GACGUAGGGAGCGAGCGUUGUCCGGAUUCAUUGGGCGUAAAGAGCUCGUAGGCGGUUUGUUGCGUCGGCUGUGAAAUCCCGAGGCUCAACCUCGGGUCUGCAGUCGAUACGAGCAAACUAGAGUGUUGCAGGGGAGACUGGAAUUCCUGGUGUAGCGGUGAAAUGCGCAGAUAUCAGGAGGAACACCGGUGGCGAAGGCGGGUCUCUGGGCAACAACUGACGCUGAGGAGCGAAAGCGUGGGGAGCGAACAGG
rnacentral:rRNA from 1 species